UGGGCAUAAGCUUCUGGCUGCCACCCUGGUGGCAUGUUUCGCGCUUGCGCCAUUUACCAAAAGAAUGAAAAAGAUUUUGAGACGAUCAGGCGUGCGAAUGACAUCGUAUGCUGCGUGGUCCAUCACGGGUGCAUCUCUUGGCACGCGUGUGCCGUGCAGCUCAACGGUUCGCCGCUCCCUUACGAGCUCUCUCGUGAUCCUCGCCGGCGGGGCAUUCUCCGGGUCAUCUUUUGCUGCACGGGCAGUGCAGUGCCGCUGUAUUGUCGUCGAAACGAACGAGACGCCGAACCCAGACUGCAUGCGUUUCUUUUCCAUGGACGUCUCGUUUCUCAAGCCAGAGUUCUCCAUGGACAUCCCCUCGCCUGCGCAGGCGUACAAGUCGCCGCUGGCUGAGGCCCUCUUUGGCGUGGCAGGGGUGCAGGCUGUCUUUCUGGCCGAUGAGUACGUGACGGUGCGCAAGCAUCCACAAGCCGACUGGGCCGCCUUGAUUCCCAUCAUCAAGGAGGUGAUCGUUGAGUUUGCAGAGAGCAAGGAAAACGUGCUCUCUGCGGCUGGUGAAGAGGAGCUGUUGGGGUACAACAACGACACUGAACCGGAUGACGAUGAUGACGAGGUGGUGCUGGCCGUAAAGGAACUGCUGGCGACGCGCAUCCGGCCGAUGCUGCGCGCUGACGGUGGCAACGUUCGCUUCAUCGACAUGGAUGAGGGCACCGUGUUCCUCCUUCUGGAAGGGUCGUGCAAGUCGUGUCCGUCGUCACACGUCACCCUCAAGAGCGGCAUCGAGCGAAUGCUGAUGCAUUGGAUUCCGGAGGUGGUGGAGGCGCAAGAGGUGAGCGAUGAGGUGGCCGUCGACAUUUUGUCUGAGAAGCGGCUGCGCAAGCAGCUGAAGGAGAAGGGCGAGGUGGUGAAGGCGAAGUAACCGCCGAAGGGGUGCGAAGCACAGGCGAGCGAGGAUAGUAGAGUGACCCCACUGACCGCCCAGCCACUGCGCCAAGGCUUCGGGCGGCUCGAUGCCGCAUGACGCGUUUGUGAUGCUCGUCGAAGCUGCCUCUGGUAUAUUGUUGCGAGGGGGGGGGAGAGGACUGCGCUCCUCCUCGUGAUCUGUCGGCGUCUAUGUGCGUGCAAACCUGACGUCUCUUUUCGCUCAAUCCUUUUCGGUGUUAUUUGUCUCAUCCGCUGAAGAAUUUUCGACGAAGGCGAAGGGCAACACGGGUUGCGGGCGACCGCCGCGGCAUGAGGAGCCGUGCGUGACCGGUCGCCUCUCUUCCUCCGUCCGUCUCCUUCACGGGGCGAUAAUCGGCAUCGUACCCUUGCAGGCGCAGCGCCCCCCUCCCCUUUCUCCUCCCCCCACACGCACAGAGACAUAUCGGCGCGCAGGCAUGCAGGCGCAGUUGUGGGCGCGCAGGGACCUUUGAGGUCCACCUCACUAUCGUUCAGUGGACAGGGAGGGGACUCCAACUCGUGUGCUCCUCUCUCAAUGCAUUGUGUGUGGACCCCGGCGUUCCAGUUCGUCCGUUGGAGCUGGAGUGAUGUGCAGGGGAAGGAGCCGUGGAUAGGGGCAGCAAAUCAACUCUCACUGUCAUUUCGCAUGACUUGAACAUAACAAAUCGCGAGUACGUGAACGAGGCUUCAUGCGCGCAUCUGCUGUCUGCUGCCUGCACCGAUGCACGGCCUCUUACUCUCGGUUCUCUCCCUCUCUCUCUUCGCCCCUUCUCUCUCUGUGGCUAG
rnacentral:misc_RNA from 1 species